GCACAAAAUGCCCUAAGUGCUUGCUUUUGGAAUGAUACAGGGAUGUGUGUGGCCCUUGUGCAAGGAUGACAUGCAAAUUUGUGAAGUGUUCCAUAUUUUU
rnacentral:snRNA from 2 species